AGGUUGUCAUUGGCCCAGCUACUGUUGGAGAUUGGUGACACUGCUGGAACAAUUGAUAAUAUUAUUCACUGCAAGCUAUACAGGACUGGAUCUGUUGGUUUUGUCUCCAAAUCUAAUGGACAGCCUCCCGUGGUUUACAAGCUUUUAAACCACCAAAAAAGAUAAGGGUCUCUGUGUGUAAAGUAUGGAGAAGUUAAGGCAGGUGAAUUUCAAAAACUCAUGUUUGUACAAGCUGUUAUAAUUUGAACAAGUAACAACUAUAUAUCUUAUGCAAAUACUUGGUACAUGUUUUAUAAAUUCUACACACAAUUCUUACAACAUAUUUGUUCCCUUAUGUAACAUUUAUAUACAAUACUUACAAUAUAUUUGACAUUCCCGCAGCAACGUACGGGCAAACUUCCUAGUACAUUCUAAAUCCGACGUACCAGAUUAGAAAUUGCAGGGGUAUUUGGGUCAUUCUCAGUUUGGGAGAGUGGUGGUGUGCUUGGGUUCGAUGGGAUGGAGGGAUUAGGUGAGGGAUGUGCCAGUGUUGCAGAGGAUGAGGGAGGAAAUUGAUAGAGGUUAUCACUGACCCGAUUGAGUGAGGGAUUUUGUGAGGAUUCCAUUAACUUGAUUGAUUGAGGAUGGUCUGACAUUCGGUAAGGCAAAAACAGAAAGAGAGAGGCGGCUUGCAGAGGUAGAGAGAGAGGGAGGGGUGGGGGCACUGAACAGGAGCGAGCAAGGUGUUUUGAUGCCUUAUUUUGGCGGUGAAAGGAAGGGUCAUCUGUAGAGAGAGAGGUUUCCUUUCGUGCACAUUAUUCGAUCCGUUUCAAUCGCUUCGACAGCAAGCCGCCGCCGCCAUCACCAUCUAGAACAAAAAAUAAACACCCGCCACUUCUUUUCAGCAGUCGUCUCCGGCGAUCCAUUCAAAUCUCCAAUCGAAACAGUUGAUGUGGAAUCUCGCGCCGAUGGAUCCCCUCGAUUUGAAAAGGAGUAGCAGAUUGAAUCGAUGAGAUCAACGGCUUUGCCGUCUAGGAUUUCGAAGUUGUUGCCGGAUUUCCGAAGAAUUUCCAGCCCAGUUUGUGCGCGGCCUGACUUCAGAUCAUAGUGAAAUGAGUUUUAUUCAACUCAGGUAUUGUAUUUGAGUUUUGAUUUUGGAUUUUUGUUAAUUUGGACGACACCCUAACAGUUUGGUUUUGCGGUGAGUUGUGGUGCUUUGUCAGGGCUUUCCCAGCUAAAAGGGGAUUUUACGUUUUGUCUCCUCAGUUGAUAAAUCUGAGAUUUGGCAGUAGCUAGAACGCCACUGUUACUUUUUGGGAUAUUGAGUCUGUAUGACAUCAAUGAGGAUGACAUUGAUGGUGUCACUGAUCGUUCUCAGCUUUCAACAGUAACACAACCAUCUCCACUCCAUAUGUAGCUACCCAUAUUAGAGUCGCCAAAAGUUUGUUCUCCAUUCUGUUUAUUUGUGAUAUUCAUGUAAUUUCAAAUCCAGCAUAUGGACAUUAGAUGCUAAUAAUUGUGUUGCGUUUAUCUAGAACCUCCAAGGUGUUUAGUGCUCCUGCCUCCACCUUUCUGGAGUUGUUAUUGUGUCUACUUAGUUUGCCUGAGUCGGCAUGAAAUAUCUUAGUUAUAUCUUUAUGAUA